UACGUAGGCAGCAAGCGUUGCUCGGAAUCACUGGGCGUAAAGCGCACGUAGGCGGUUUCUUAAGUCAGGGGUGAAAUCCUGGAGCUCAACUCCAGAACUGCCUUUGAUACUGGGAGACUUGGAGUCCGGGAGAGGUGAGUGGAACUGCGAGUGUAGAGGUGAAAUUCGUAGAUAUUCGCAAGAACACCAGUGGCGAAGGCGGCUCACUGGCCCGGUACUGACGCUGAGGUGCGAAAGCGUGGGGAGCAAACAGGG
rnacentral:rRNA from 1 species